rnacentral:rRNA from 1 species
CGCGGGGGCAACCCUGGCGGCGAGCGGCGAACGGGUGAGUAAUGUAUCGGAACGUACCCAGUCGUGGGGGAUAACACAGCGAAAGCUGUGCUAAUACCGCAUACGUCCUGAGGGAGAAAGCGGGGGACCUGUAAGGGCCUCGCGCGAUUGGAGCGGCCGAUAUCGGAUUAGCUAGUUGGUGAGGUAAAGGCUCACCAAGGCGACGAUCCGUAGCUGGUCUGAGAGGACGACCAGCCACACUGGAACUGAGACACGGUCCAGACUCCUACGGGAGGCAGCAGUGGGGAAUUUUGGACAAUGGGGGAAACCCUGAUCCAGCCAUUCCGCGUGAGUGAAGAAGGCCUUCGGGUUGUAAAGCUCUUUCAGCAGGAACGAAACGGUCAUUUUUAAUAAAGAUGGCUAAUGACGGUACCUGAAGAAGAAGCACCGGCUAACUACGUGCCAGCAGCCGCGGUAAUACGUAGGGUGCGAGCGUUAAUCGGAAUUCUGGGCGUAAAGCGUGCGCAGGCGGUUUUGUAAGACAGAUGUGAAAU